GAUGAACGCUGGCGGCGUGCUUAACACAUGCAAGUCGAACGGAAAGGCCCAAGCUUGCUUGGGUGCUCGAGUGGCGAACGGGUGAGUAACACGUGGGUGAUCUGCCCUGCACUUCGGGAUAAGCCUGGGAAACUGGGUCUAAUACCGGAUAGGACCAUCGUUUAGUGUCGGUGGUGGAAAGUUUUUCGGUGUGGGAUGAGCUCGCGGCCUAUCAGCUUGUUGGUGGGGUAAUGGCCUACCAAGGCGUCGACGGGUAGCCGGCCUGAGAGGGUGUACGGCCACAUUGGGACUGAGAUACGGCCCAGACUCCUACGGGAGGCAGCAGUGGGGAAUAUUGCACAAGGGGCGCAAGCCUGAUGCAGCGACGCCGCGUGGGGGAUGACGGCCUUCGGGUUGUAAACUCCUUUCGCCAAGGACGAAGCGUUUUGUGACGGUACUUGGAGAAGAAGCACCGGCUGACUACGUG
rnacentral:rRNA from 1 species